rnacentral:rRNA from 1 species
GACGAACGCUGGCGGCGUGCUUAACACAUGCAAGUCGAGCGGUAAGGCCCUUUCGGGGGUACACGAGCGGCGAACGGGUGAGUAACACGUGGGUGACCUGCCUUCAGCUCUGGGAUAAGCCUGGGAAACUGGGUCUAAUACCGGAUAUGACUCCAUGAUGCAUGUUGUGGGGUGGAAAGCUUUUGCGGCUGGAGAUGGGCCCGCGGCCUAUCAGCUUGUUGGUGGGGUGANGGCCUACCAAGGCGACGACGGGUAGCCGGCCUGAGAGGGCGACCGGCCACACUGGGACUGAGAC